GAUGAACGCUGGCGGCGUGCUUAACACAUGCAAGUCGAACGAUGAAGCCCAGCUUGCUGGGUGGAUUAGUGGCGAACGGGUGAGUAACACGUGAGUAACCUGCCCUUAACUCUGGGAUAAGCCUGGGAAACUGGGUCUAAUACCGGAUAGGAGCGUCCACCGCAUGGUGGGUGUUGGAAAGAUUUAUCGGUUUUGGAUGGACUCGCGGCCUAUCAGCUUGUUGGUGAGGUAAUGGCUCACCAAGGCGACGACGGGUAGCCGGCCUGAGAGGGUGACCGGCCACACUGGGACUGAGACACGGCCCAGACUCCUACGGGAGGCAGCAGUGGGGAAUAUUGCACAAUGGGCGAAAGCCUGAUGCAGCGACGCCGCGUGAGGGACGACGGCCUUCGGGUUGUAAACCUCUUUCAGUAGGGAAGAAGCGAAAGUGACGGUACCUGCAGAAGAAGCACCGGCUAACUACGUG
rnacentral:rRNA from 1 species